UACAGGACAGAAAUUUGUGGUGGAUAAAGAGGCGAGAGCCAACAAGUAAUUGAUCUCUUUUCCUAAUGGUCGAACAACUGCAGCUUCAGUUUAAGCAAUAAGAGCCAUAUUCAGGUUAGAGAUAUGUUAGAAACACUAAUGCCAUUCGCGAUAUAACCUAUUUUCAGCCCAGGGUUCUUAAGUUUUGUUUUCUGGAUUUGACAGAAAUUCAAUCAAUUUUUUGAGGAAUUUUGAUGAAAAAAUUGAACGCAUUUUGCUUUUGGCUCAAUUUGACAUGUCACUACCUUUUUACUAAUUGUAAAUAUAUCUGUGGUCACAGAAAUCAUCAUAAAUUUGGAUUCUCUUGAAUAAAGUUUCUGGGGAAAAGAGCACUCUGGUUCAGCCCAGUUCAGUAUCCAUAAACAUAGUGUAAUGUUCAGGGUUCAGUGUAUGAGCAUAGCUACUUGAGCUCAAUACCAGUUUAGCACUAGGAUCUCCGACUGGUACCGCGCAUGGUAACAAUAUACAGAAUUAGAGUAUAUAUGCGCUUACUGUAGAAACUUUACUUUUUUGUAAUGGGCAGCAAUCUAGAUUUAGUUGGUUCAGCGGUGAGGAGAGAGUAUGAUUGAUCCGAGUGCUAAACUGGUAGGCAGACCAACCGGUGGAGAUGGAGAGGAACAUGGAACAAAUUUGGGGAGGAAGAGAGAAGGCAGGAGAGAUAUCAAGUACUCCCUCCGUUCUGAAUUACUUGUCGCACGUAUGGAUGUAUCUAGAUGUAUUUUAGUUCUAGAUACAUCCAUUUCAGCGACGAGUAAUUUGGAACGGAGGGAGUAGUAAUAUUGUUUAACAAUCUGCAGCUUAAUCAUCUUACAAAUACCAAUCAUAUCCCCUUUCUCACUCUAUAGCAAAUAGAUCAGGACCUGGGCUUUGUUAUUCUCCUGAUUCUGAAAGUUAACCACUUGAUCUUUUAUUGCUUAAAUAGUGUACUCACGUACUGUCCGAUUGACGCAUCAGUGUAGGAACCAGGUUUAGUUAUAAAGAAAAAUCAAGAUUUGUAAAUUAACAAAUACAACGAUGUUUGGUUGCUGGACACGAAGGUACUUCCAUAUUUUCACCAUGAAUACUGGAAUAGUUCAUCUAAUUCGAGUGGUAACUAAUGUAAUUUACGAAAAUAACCAAGUCAAAUGAGAAAUCUAAGAAGCAAAAAACACCAGCUGUUGUCAGGAAUGCUUCUGUUACCUUUUUGCAUACAAUCACCAAAUGCUUGCCAAGAUCAUGAUUCAUUGAACAUCCGUAGGCUGAAUAGUGUUUGCUAGCAGAGACCUAUAAAGUGUAUUUAGAAAAAACAAUGCGUGAAAUGAGGCAUCGAUGUACAAUUGCAUUGACAUUUGUUCUUUCGUAACCAAUAGUUUUACAUGGCACUAUUAAUUUAGCUAGGAGUUCAGUUCCAUCAGUUUUGUUCUAAUGUUUUGUUCAUUUAUUUAUUUUUGCGGGAUAACAUUACUAUUUUCUAUUCGAACAUACGGAGAAACAGCACAAGGUGUCAUCCCAGCGGAUAAUAUUAGUAAAUUUAAGAUCAGAAUUCGAGAAGGAGUGAUCUACACGAUCCAGCAUUACCUGAUUCUGAGAGCAAAUGAAAAAUACAGAGCCACUGAUCAUCCUUUCAGGCUUUCUUUUAUUAAUACAAAUACUGUGUGUCCCGUCAACCCUCAGCCUCCUGGUUUUCCUCUCAUCGCUCAUAAUGCUCUUCCAUUCUCGGAACUAGAAAAACGAAUCGGAUAAAAUGUGCUUAUGUCAGGUUAGUUGGUACACAUCUUUAUCUAGGAAUGUACCUGCUUUAAAAAUCUGUGCUAUUUUACUCUAAAGUUAUACUGUGUGUCUAAAACUUGCAGAUGUAAUUGGUGGAAUUACCGGAAUCAUGGAUUUUCUUCCUCCUACUGUAAAUGCACGGGAGCCAAGACGUCAAAUCUUUAUUACCAAUCGACAAUAUAUCAUUUUCUCACAUUUACAGCAGUGUACAUCAUCCAUGAAUGACCACUUCUACAAAAUCCAGCAACUUAACUAGUUAUGCAGGAGACACGCAAUCGUUAUGCUUUGGGGAGAUUUUGUACAGUCCUUUGAUGCAGACACACUGCGCUCCUGAGCCCUGGCCAAGAGGGAACCCGUUUUGGUACUGUUUGUUGGGGUCAUGGUAGAUCGGUAUGCAGAGGCUGAAGACCAGACCGACCCACCUUUUGCCGAGUUUACUUUCUUUGGGCAGCAAGAACUAAUAACCGAAACAACUGCAGCAGCCCAUCCGAAGGGGUUCGCCACCUGAAAUAGAGAGGCUUCGCGGCAAGAAAUUAAUUACUACAUUCACUACAAAUGAUAAGACUCUGAGAGCCAGUCUUCUGCCAUUUCAAAGUGUAAGCAAUAGAUCACUUAGAAAACGAAAGACCACUUGCACAGUUUCUGAUGCGUAAUCCAGCAGCAGUUCCAGACAUUCAUGGCUCUUCAUCCUCUGCAUCUGCAACAAUUGAAGGUCAUCUUGCAACACAACCGCCUAUUAAGGACGGUCAGCAGAGUAAUUCACCAUCUGAAUCAGAAUCAGCUGAGCCACUUAAUGACAAGAUAGGCUCAAGUGACAAGAAAAGGUCAGCAGAAAGCAACAAGCUUGCGGACACAUAGGCGAACAAGAGCCUGCAGCAAAAGAGUUGUUCCAUGCAGCAACCGCCCAGGAAAGUGGAGCUACUACAGAGAAGUAGACCACCUCUCGAAUGUAGUUCUAUCCAGUAGUCACACCAGGCACAUUCUAUUAUGUAUAUGAACCAAGAUGUAGAUAUGCAUUUAUGCCCGUCGAACUAAGUAGGUCGUGUUAGUAUCUUCUGUUGCACAAGCGUACUGUGAGCCUUAAGCAUGUCGUUUGCAUCGCAAUAACAUCCUUUUGGCCAGAUUGUUGUAAACGCCUUCCUAGACAUGGACAUGUAU